CUGUCAUAACAUCUUUGAGUUGGAGGUUUAAUGUGUUUUGAAGAGCUGUUGGACUUAUUCUAAGAGACAAUGGCACAAGAGCAUGUCUCCCAGCCUCAGUGUUUUAACUUCAUAGUAGGCGUGCGUCAACAGGACAACAUCGAUGUGGCAGUCCUUCCUUGGUCAGCAAUGGGACACAUAUUUAAGCUCCUACCUCCAGGAAGCAGGGAAUGGAGAGACCCAGUGUUCUCUAGCAUCUGUGAAUUUUAUUUUAGCUCAGUCAAGGUGCUAAACUUUUUUGUUUCUCAAAAUAUCUACCUCUAAAAUAACUGUGUCAAUCUUAGUCACGUGGUUACUUUAGAUUCCUGGAAUGAAGGAUGACGUAGUGCAUAGGUAUGUCAGUCCCAG
ensembl:lncRNA